GACGAACGCUGGCGGCGUGCCUAACACAUGCAAGUCGAACGGACGAGGGGAGCUUGCUCCCCGAGUUAGUGGCGAACGGGUGAGUAACGCGUGAGAAACCUGCCUUUCAGUGGGGGACAACAGUUGGAAACGGCUGCUAAUACCGCAUAAUGUGCCGGGAGGGCAUCCUCCUGGUACCAAAGCUUUAUGUGCUGAAAGAUGGUCUCGCGUCUGAUUAGCUAGUUGGUGAGGUAACGGCUCACCAAGGCGACGAUCAGUAGCCGGUCUGAGAGGAUGAACGGCCACAUUGGGACUGAGACACGGCCCAGACUCCUACGGGAGGCAGCAGUGGGGAAUAUUGCACAAUGGGGGGAAACCCUGAUGCAGCGACGCCGCGUGAGCGAAGAAGAUCUUCGGAUUGUAAAGCUCUGUCUUAGGGGACGAUAAUGACGGUACCCUGAGAGGAAGCCACGGCUAACUACGUG
rnacentral:rRNA from 1 species